UCAUUGAAGAAAAACACGAGAACCAAUAAAGGAAUUCAUCCUUUGUUUUCAUCAAAAUCAAAAAAGCACAAUGUGUUAACAUCGUCGUAGACAUCUAUCCAUGUGUGUAUAUCACAGGCCCCUUGGUUGUAUCUGCCACAAAGGAGGCCAAGUCAGAAAACGUUUUUAAAAUGUUGAGUGUAGAUGGGUUCAGGGGUCCAGAUGACAAAUGUAUAAGUAGAAGGGUUCACAAUACAAACUUACACAAGUACAAGGGUUCACUAGACCCUUUUGCCAAAAUAAUAUAACUCCAUGUUUACCCUUUUUU